rnacentral:rRNA from 1 species
CCUACGGGUGGCAGCAGUGAGGAAUAUUGGUCAAUGGACGAGAGUCUGAACCAGCCAAGUCGCGUGAAGGAUGACUGCCCUAUGGGUUGUAAACUUCUUUUAUCUGGGAAUAAAAUGUUCCACGUGUGGGAUUUGUUAUGUACCAUAUGAAUAAGGAUCGGCUAACUCCGUGCCAGCAGACGCGGUAAUACGGGGGAUCCGAGCGUUAUCCGGAUUUAUUGGGUUUAAAGGGAGCGUAGGUGGAUUGUUAAGUCAGCGGUAAAACCCCGGGGCUCAACCCCGGAGAGCCGUUGAAACUGGCUGUCUUGAGAUGGCGAGAGGUAUGCGGAAUGCGCAGUGUAGCGGUGAAAUGCUUAGAUAUUGCGCAGAACUCCGAUUGCGAAGGCAGCAUACCGGCGGCGAUCUGACGCUGAGGCACGAAAGCGUGGGUAUCGAACAGGAUUAGAUACCCCAGUAGUC